rnacentral:rRNA from 1 species
AUUGAACGCUGGCGGCAGGCUUAACACAUGCAAGUCGAGCGGGGUGAUGGUGCUUGCACUAUCACUUAGCGGCGGACGGGUGAGUAAUGCUUAGGAAUCUGCCUAUUAGUGGGGGACAACAUCUCGAAAGGGAUGCUGAUACCGCAUACGUCCUACGGGAGAAAGCAGGGGAUCACUUGUGACCUUGCGCUAAUAGAUGAGCCUAAGUCGGAUUAGCUAGUUGGUGGGGUAAAGGGCUACCAAGGCGACGAUCUGUAGCGGGUCUGAGAGGAUGAUCCGCCAGACGGGGACUGAGAACCGGCCCAGACUCCUACGAGAGGCAGCAGUGGGGAAUAUUGGACAAUGGGGGGAACCCUGAUCCAGCCAUGCCGCGUGUGUGAAGAAGGCCUUAUGGUUGUAAAGCACUUUAAGCGAGGAGGAGGCUCUUUUGGUUAAUACCCAAGAUGAGUGGACGUUACUCGCAGAAUAAGCACCGGCUAACUCUGUGCCAGCCGCCGCCGUAA